rnacentral:rRNA from 1 species
AAGCCAGACUCCUACGGGAGGCAGCAGUGGGGGAUAUUGCACAAUGGGGGGAACCCUGAUGCAGCGACGCCGCGUGGGUGAAGGAGCGUUUCGGCGCGUAAAGCCCUAUCGGCAGGGAAGAAGGAGGACGGUACCUGACUAAGAAGCCCCGGCUAACUACGUGCCAGCAGCCGCGGUAAUACGUAGGGGGCAAGCGUUAUCCGGAUUUACUGGGUGUAAAGGGGGCGCAGACGGCAGCGCAAGCCAGGAGUGAAAGCCCGGGGCCCAACCCCGGGACUGCUCUUGGAACUGCGCGGCUGGAGUGCAGGAGGGGCAGGCGGAAUUCCUGGUGUAGCGGUGAAAUGCGUAGAUAUCAGGAGGAACACCGGUGGCGAAGGCGGCCUGCUGGACUGCAACUGACGUUGAGGCCCGAAAGCGUGGGGAGCAAACAGGAUUAGAUACCCUUGUA